AGAGUUUGAUCCUGGCUCACGAUGAACGCUAGCUACACGCAUAACACAUGCAAGUCGCGGGGCAGCAUGUCUGGUUGCUUGCUACCGAUGAUGGCGACCGGCGCAGGGGUGAGUAACGCGUAUCCAACCUGCCCUUCACCACAGAAUAAUCCAGUGAAAAUUGGUCUAAUACCGUAUGACGUCAUCCCAUGGCGUCGAAAUAUGACAAAGGGUUUACCGGUGAUGGAUGGGGAUGCGUCUGAUUAGAUUGUUGGUGAGGUAACGGCUCACCAAGGCGACGAUCAGUAGGGGUACUGAGAGGAAGGUCCCCCACAUUGGAACUGAGACACGGUCCAAACUCCUACGGGAGGCAGCAGUGAGGAAUAUUGGUCAAUGGGCGAAACCCUGAACCAGCCACGUAGCGUGCAGGACGACGGUCCUAUGGGUGGUAAACUGCUUAUAUAUGGGGAUAAAGUGACUUACCUGUAACUUAUUGCUCGUACCAUAUGAAUAACGACCGGCUAAUUCCUUGCCAGCAACCGAGCGUAAUACCGAAUGUCCAGGCGUUAUCCGGAUCUAUUGGGUUAAAAUGGAUCGUAUGCCGCCCCUUAAGCGUGUUGUGAAAUGCCGCGGCUCAACCGGGGCACUGCGACUCGAACUGAGGGGCUUGAAUGACUACACUCACGCGGAAUUCGUGGUGUAUCGGUGAAAUGCUUAGAUAUCACGACGAACUCCGAUGACGAAGACAGUUUGCACGAGUGCGAAUGACGAUGAAGCUCGAAGUGGCGGGCAUCCAACAGGAUUAGAUACGCUGGUACUCAGCACAGUAAACGAAGGAUACCCGUUGGAUGUGAUAAAGCUACUCGGCCAUCGCAAAGCGUUAAGCAUCCCAACUGGCGAGUACGCCGCCCACAGUGAAAAUCAAAGGAAUUGACGGGGGCCCGCACAAACGGAGGAACAUAUGGUUUAAUUCGAUGAUACGCGAGGAACAUUAUACGGGGUUGAAUUACAGAAGGCGGAUCCUGAGAUGGUGACUCCCUUUGGGGAUUCUGUGAAGAGGUUGCAUGGUUUUCUUCAGAUCUCGCCUCGAGAGAUCGGGGUAAGUGCCAUAACGAGCGCAACACCUGUCUCUAGUAGUCCAUCACUAUGAGAUGGGCACUCUGAGGAUGACUGCCACCUCAAGAUUGAGGAAGGUGGGGAGAGUCAAAUCAGCCGGCCUUAAUUGGGGUAAAACGGUACAUGUGUACAGAGAUAGGCGCCUGCAAGUCAUUCCAAUCAGCAAGCCAUCUCCAAUUCGGAUUGGGGUCUGCAACCUGACCCCAAGAAACCGGAUUCGGUAAUUAUCGCGCAUCAGCCAUGGCGCGGUGAAUACGUUCCNCGGGCCUUGUACACACGGCCCGUC
rnacentral:rRNA from 1 species